UAAUACGCUAAAAUAAAAUAAAAUAAUAAAAUAAAAUUAAAUAAAUGAAAUUAAAUAAAAGAAUAGGAGCUAAGUCCACAGAGGCCAGAGUCAGGAACUUGAUCAAAGAGCCUAUCUGCCAUAAUCUGUAAUGCUCCCCAAAUAUUAUUUCUGAUUCCCUCAAAGUAUAAAAAGUUAUUUCCCAGUCACUAGCAAACCUCUUAAAAUACAAAAGAUCUCUGUGUUUAUACUCUGGGGUGGGCCAGUCUACAUGCCUUGAAUGGCCAGUCUUGUGGAGAGAAGUACUCUAGGGGCUAGAGUGGGCUGUGGCAUGUUUCAAGUCAAAAGGAAAAUAGUAUCAGACCCUUAAUCUUGCAUGUUGUCUGGGGACUCAAAAAUGAUUUUAGAGCUUAGUCACAGAAAAGCCUCUGAUGGUUUCCUUACCUAAUGCCUAAGACUUGUAAGCUAGUGCGGGUCAGAGGAGUUUUGGAGUCCUUUUAGCUUAGGAAGCUGGCACCACCCUGGCAGGUGAGCCAGGUACCUUACCAGGAAGCACAGCAAUCACUGUCCUGUGUGGGAAUGGGCAGACCUGGGGUUCCUAGUUGGGUGGACAAAGGGAAAUAGAGGGGCUCCACAGGCCAUUUAGCAUUCAGGAGUUUGGAGAGGAGUUGGUAUUCAGGAGGUAGAUUUGCCUGAAACCUGAGAAAUCCUGAAAGCAGUUGUUUCCCGUCUUUGAGAAGAUGGGCAUGAGGAUGGAUACCUUAUCAGAACUGGGCCAAUCCUAGACUGUGCUUGUCUUGAACCUGCGAAUGAUCCACCUGGGAAUUUUGUUAAAAUGUAAAUUCUCAUCCAUUAGAUCUGAGGUGGUGCCUGAAAUUGUGCAUUUCUAACAAGUUCCCAGGCAGUGUUGAUCUUGCUGGUUUGGGAACCACACUGAGUAACAAGGCUCUACUGUGUGAAUCAGGAGGGAAAGAGAAAGAAGCAGCUUGGAAGCCUGACACUUAAUGCUGUGGCCCCUGGGUGCUCGUGAGAUCUGGUUGGCAGGAAGAUAUAAUACUGUAGUGAGAAAUACGAACAUUAACAGUUGUGGCUGGGCCACAGAGUCCCUUUAAGAGAUUAGAUCCUGAGCCCUUUAUUUGUUGAUAACAUUCUAUAAUGAGCAGAGAUUGGCAUGGAGACAGAGAAAGACCUGGACUGCCAAGGAGACCCCUACCCUUUGAAUUGCCGAUAUCUAAUGAAGGAUACUUGAGGGGCAAAUGGUAGUUUCUUCACUUUGCCAAUUGGGAAAUUAAGGUUUUCAAAGGACAAACUAUGUCCCCACAUGGUUAGGAAACAUCCUGAUGAUUCUGGAGCAGUGUGGAGUAUCCAGUGGCUUCUCAUCUUCCACCCAUCCACAUGUGCUAGAUCCUGUAGAUACAAACUCCACAUUGGCUGAGUGCUAUAGCCCCUUUACUCUCCUAGACACUGGGAAAGCAGGGACUCCAAGCUGUUCUCAAGAUCCUGCCCUCAAGAGAGAACAAAAGGGAAUCUGUGGACCCCCUUUGCAAAGGCUCAUGGAAUGCUACUCUCUGCUUAAUAAACUUUUUUGUUUGCCAUUUAUUUGAUCUACCAUUUUCUUUCUUUUUCCUUUUCUCUCUUUUCUCUCAUCCCGUUCAUCUCCCAUAACCGUUACCCAUCCUUGUCCUUCAUCUUUUGGUUAACCAUAAUAAGUUUAUCCUAUUUUCCUUCUCUUAAUAUGAGUACAUCACAAAUAAACAUAUAUAAACCCUGUGGGUACUGAAAAUGAUUGCUAACUUUUUGGUGCUUAUUGUGUACCAGGUACUAUAUUUAGUGCCCCACAGCAUUCUUUAGUAUGCUGUUAUCUCUAUCCCAGUUUUGUGAAUGAGAAAACUAGGGUGUAACUUAAACAUCUUAUUUAACGAACAUAUAACUAAGGAGUGGCAGAGCUGGGAUUCAAACUUAUAUCUCCUGAUUUCAUGAUCAUAUCAAUAUUUGUUAUUCCAGAGAUAUCAAGGAGCGAGUUAGUUGAUCUGUAGAUGGAUAUUAACAGGUGUCAUAAAUAUUAGCAUAAAUUUAGAAAAUAGCAAUAUAUGCUUUAACAUAUAUUGCCAUCACGGGUAAAGAAGAUGACUCUUAUCAAUUGAAGUGACCAAAGGCCUAGUGUUAGUCUCAGAAAAUAAAUACUUUAGAAAAAAAUAAUCAGAAUUCUAGUGGUUGUAUUUUAGGACUAGGGAAGUAUGGUAGCUUAUCAGGGCAUCAUGGAGGCAGAUGUUAGGAAUGAGUCAGAACAUUUGCUCUAGACAAUGAAUAAGAUACUAAGAAGGCUGACCCAACUGUAUUGGUUGAAUCAGAGCUAUAGCUCGCUGGUCAAGGCACAAAGUCAAAGGGGUUACAGACUCAGAUGCCUUCUUGGCUCAAUCGCAGCAGAUCCUAAAUUCACAGUGGCACUGGUAUUCAGAAGGCAAGUAGGCAGUUGUCAUGUAGGAGAAAGUAGGUCCUUCUGGGGCUUUAGGGCAGAGUUCUCAUUCCAGGAAUGUGGGACUUCCUAUUAUAAGCAGAAUGGUAGAGACAGCCACUAGGCUGGGAGUCAAGGAUAGGAUUUGAUCCCCCACUAGGAGAAUUGGCUACAGCCAUACUAGGAGCAAGACCCAAAGCAGAAAACAAACCCUGAGCUUUUUUUGGUUGUACUAAAGGAGACUUGGGAGCCCAGGAUUUAGCUCUGGUGUCUUGGACCUGUGAGGCAGGUUAAAAGCCAAGCCCUUCCGUAGGAGGAGCCAAAGCUAUUUAAAUAUUGCCUGCAAUAUUGCCUUGCUUGACUGGGAACUAGUUGAUGCAGCCAUAGUGAUUGGCCCAGAGAAAAUCAUAAGAGUAAAGGAGGCUGACAGGUGCAUAUUACAAUUAGACUCAGUUAGGUAAAACAAUGUGAAAUAGAACCUGACUAGCUAAAGAGAUGGCUUUCAAGUGAAAUUUUUACUCAUUGGGACUUCACUUCUAUCUUCUUUUUACUAUAUUUUAAACCUAUAGUAAAACAGGCUGGAAUCUUCUUGAUGUAUUGAUAUCUACUUGAAAGCUAUGAUACUGGGGACCCAUUCAUUUAUGCCACAUGUAUUUGUUGAGCACCUACAUGUACUGAGAGGAUAAAAUGGAAAUAAAUCAGUCAAGUACUUUGUUAGCCAAAUCUAAAUUUCUCUCAAGACAGGGUUAUUUCACUUAACUUACAGCUAAGUAAACUCGUACAUAACUUAAGAAGUGUGGAGAGCAGGGACAGUUAUUCUAUAUUUUCUAACAUGUCCAUUGUACACUUACUAAGAUAACUUAUAUUUAUACAGAGAUAUUAAUACUUUAGCAAGGAAAUAAUAGAAGUAUGGGUGAGUAUUUUGGAAGAGAUUCGCACAGAAAGAAGGAAAUAACUUGAGUUUGAAAGAAUAAAGGAAGUGCUGAUAGGAGUGACUACUCUUGUUCUAAAUUAAACAAACAAAAAAAAUCAAAGUGCACAUUUAAUCCCUAAUUUUCAAUGGCUGUUUCAAAACUUCUUAUGGUCACAUGAAAUUGGUCUAGUACAUUAAAUUGUUUCCUUUGACAACUUUUCCUUUGAGUGAUUGUUUUAAAGUUUUGUCUUCUAAUUCUUUAAAUAUGCACCUAUCAUUCUAGAUUAUAUUUAAUCCAAUCUCUUAUAUAACCACUAUCAUUUUGGAUUGUUCUCAAUUCCAGUGGAAUUAGGAUUUCUUAGAACUGUUUGGUUUCUUGGCCUGCAUGGCAAGCCUAAAAAAGACUUGGAAGGUACUUAAUGAUGGAGCGCAAGGUCUUUGGAGCCUCCACCCAGAGUAGUAUGGUAGGUAAGGUAUAUCUACUACUAUAAUCAGAUUUUCCUAAGAUUGUUAUAUACACAAGCCUAUUUUUAACAGUCCUCUUUUCUUCUUCAUUAUUGCCAGCUCUGGGAUCAAAUACUUCAGGUUCUUGCCUGCUUUAAACAUGCCUUAAGAUCUCUGUAAUUCAAAUUGAAAUGUCUGAAAUAAGGAAUGUACCAUUUAAGGGUAGAGUAGCUUAUUUGUGCUGGGAAACUCCCAAUUAAUAUUUAAGGAUUAUUUGCUAGAAAACUAAUUCAUUCCUCCUUAACUCCUUGGAAAUGGUUUGAUGUCAUUGCAAUGAAUGAGAUAAUGCAGAUAAUGUUCUUACAGCAUUGAUAACACAUUGUAAGUGCUUCAGAAAUAUCACAUAUUACUACUAUUCUUCUUAGAAAUGAGGACCGAGAGUCAUAGUUUGGCCAAGAUCACAUGAUAACUCAAAUUUAUUAUUCCUACCUCUUGAGUGUACCACUGACAACACUUAUAGCAGACAUAAAAUAUUGGUGUUUCAGUGUAUGUUUCUGUGAGCCAUCUAAAUUGAUGAACAAUUGUAUGGUAGGCAAGGUUAUAGUCUGGAAUGAAUGGUUUAUUUCUUGCUCAUGCUCAUUGCCCAUCAAGAUUAUCUAGGGGCUUUCCUUUGCAUUAGCUUCACUGCAGAGCCCCAGCAGGAUGUAACAGAUACCAUCAGAAGUAUUCUUUUUUUCUGUGGCAGAAGGAAAUAGUCAGAGAGGACCACAUUUAAAAUGCCUCAGUCCAGAAGUGAUAGAGUCACUUCUGCUGAUAGCUCAUUGGCCAGAUUGAGUCACCAGGCCUUACCCAACCAUAAAAGGGCCAAGAAGUACAAUUCUGUAAUGUGUCUACGAAUAGGAAUGGCAGGAUAUAUCUGCUAAACUGUGCUAAUGACAAUCACACUAGAUUAAUUAGGUUCAUUAUAUGUUACAUUCCUGACUAGCCAUCUGAAACCAUAUGCCACUAGUCUCAGCAAAAGCUUCUGUAUCUCUUACUACAAAUUUAUCUCCACUAUUGAAAAUAGAAUUCAGAAGUACCUGAAAUGAUCUAGGUGCUCUUUAAGAUCAUGCUUAGUUAUGUAUUUCUUCCUUUAAAGUACAAUGUGUGAUACAAAGUAAAUUUUUUGCUUUGAAUUAAGCUAAUGGUGCAGUGGUACAGUUUUUAUAAGUGGAAGGCAGGGAAGUUAUGUUUUAAGGAAAUGUACUGGCAUUUAUUUGGUAAUAUUUAUAAACCAUAAAGAAUUAUCAUUAAUAGUCAUAUUUUGAUAUUGCUAUUGUUCAAAUUCUCAUUUUUUAUUAAAAAUAUUUCAGUAUAUUUAUCCUAUGUCUUAUAGAAACUAGUAAUGAUUUAGGGCAUAUACAUAAGUGUCUUAUGAAUUUAGGCAAUAUUAUGUACAAAGGUAGGAAUGUUAUAUACAAAGGCAUAGAGGCUUGAGGAAACAUGGCAGAUUUGGAAAGCUAUACAUAUUAGAGUAGUUUGGAGA